rnacentral:rRNA from 1 species
UACGAAGGGGGCUAGCGUUGCUCGGAAUCACUGGGCGUAAAGCGCACGUAGGCGGGUCGUUAAGUCGGGGGUGAAAUCCUGGAGCUCAACUCCAGAACUGCCUUCGAUACUGGCGACCUUGAGUCCGGGAGAGGUGAGUGGAACUCCGAGUGUAGAGGUGAAAUGCGCAGAUAUUAGGAGGAACACCGGUGGCGAAGGCGCCACUCUGGGCCGGAACUGACGCUGAGGAGCGAAAGCGUGGGUAGCAAACAGG